AGAGUUUGAUCCUGGCUCAGGUUGAACGCUAGCGGGAUGCCUUACACAUGCAAGUCGAACGGCAGCGCGGACUUCGGUCUGGCGGCGAGUGGCGAACGGGUGAGUAAUGUAUCGGAACGUGCCCAGUAGCGGGGGAUAACUACUCGAAAGAGUAGCUAAUACCGCAUACGCCCUACGGGGGAAAGGGGGGGAUCGCAAGACCUCUCACUAUUGGAGCGGCCGAUAUCGGAUUAGCUAGUUGGUGAGGUAAAGGCUCACCAAGGCGACGAUCCGUAGCUGGUUUGAGAGGACGACCAGCCACACUGGGACUGAGACACGGCCCAGACUCCUACGGGAGGCAGCAGUGGGGAAUUUUGGAC
rnacentral:rRNA from 1 species